ensembl:lncRNA
GAAAACAACGAAACAAUAAAGGGACAUACAGAAAUGAUUUGCAAAUAAGAUAAAUGAUUAUGGGGCAUGUGAGGAUGACUAUGGUGACUUCUAACACAACCCAAGACUUCUUCCCUUGGGAAGGCUGAGGGCGGAGGUGGGCCUCGGUUGAGCACCUUCCAGGACCCAACCCACUGUGUGUGACCUCCUCUAACCCUGAUCCCCUGGGAGUAGAGGUGACGAUUACUUGUGGUUUGCAGGACAGGAAACUGAGCCUCAGACAAGUUAGGUCACAUGCCUGAAUUCCCCACGGCUACUAGGUGGAGGAGCAGAGAUUCAAACCCACAUUGGCCUCACAGUGCACACUCUUUCCACUAAUCUCCACAGUCACGUGACUGGCUAAAUGAUGGAAGAGAACAGAAAUCAAUUUAAAAUAUGUCAGUUUUGGGUAAUAACCAAUUAGAGUGUGGGAGAUCCACCCUUGGAGAGCUUUCUGGAAGUAGACUGCAGAAGCAACACUUCCUCUGAGAGCUCUGUUGACGGAGGGAGCUCUCACCCUCAAUUCAGCCCUGAUUUUUAAAAAGCUCGCAUGUGUCUCUCACAGGUUCUCGUUUACUGCAAUGUCCUUAAGCAAGAUCAACCUCAGGAUUCAGGGAGAGCCUAGUGUGAAAUACCACAGGUGCUCCAUCAUGCGGUGACUCAGUAAAUGGGAGAGCGCGUGCUCUCACCCUGGAAUCCACCUGCUCCCCCUUCCAAAGAUUUGAUCUGUAAAUCAGAGAUUGGGAGCCCAGGAGCAAAACUGUAAGAAAGGAUUGCUGUUGUGAAUUGUUUGUAAAUUGCUAUUUCUGUGUUAAUUUGUAGACUAAAAAUGUCGUCAGACCCCAUAGACUACUUGAGGAGUAUUCCUACCCACAGAGAGAGAGAAAAUGGGGCUGCAGGUGGGAGCUGUUUCCUCUCUCCUGCUCUAUUUUAUUUUCCAUCACCUUUUCUCCUUUCCCCAUGGAGAACAGGGACACAUGGAGAAUUAAUCCGAAAGACUAACGUGUUAUCUUCACCAGGUGGAAAUUUGCCGAAAGCAUGGGGUGAACUGAAGUCAAUUCUGAAUGAGAAUGUCAUGUUUAAGAGCUUUUAAGGUUCUGAUAACACUAUAUAAAAUUUCUCCAUUGAACUAUCAAGUUCUAGAAGUAAGAAAUGAGUCAAAAUGCAACUCUUCAUUAUUGUGGAUCCCAGGAUGUCUACACUUUGGGCUCUCAAGCCUUCCAGAGGCCCUGACUCAUUGGUCAGAGGCCUGGCUUGGGGGUCACAUCUGAUUUCCAGGCUUGAUGCGACAUGACGUGAGACAAUUCACUUAGCUUCUCUGUGCCUUAGUUCCAGCUCUAAAAUCUGGAAAUUCCAUAACUCAGCCUACCUGGCUCAAAUUCUUUAAAUAUGGCCUUCUGUAUAAAACAUGGACACUUGUAGUUAAAUAUCUUAUUAAUUACCUGUUGAAUGAAUGAAUGAAGGAAUGCCCGUCAGAGCUCUGAAGCCAUUUUCUUGAAAACUUUGAAAGAACAAUCAAAGGCAAAGUUCAGCAACGAAAAACUGGAGACUUUGAUUUCCUGUCACCGAACAAGUUGAAAAAUCUUAGUAAGAGACACUUGAACCUUUUAAGUAUCAUCUUGCGGUAAUAAUGACCUCUCAUGCAUAUUUAUGCACUUAGCUUUAUAAUAACCACUUGAAAGACUAGCUUUUUUUUUCCCCCUGGGAAUGAAGCUAUGUGAAGUGUGACAAAAUAUUCCAAGUUCAAAGGUCCAAAUAUGUAAAAUACAAAAAUGUUGGAAUUUCUUCCACAAGUAGAAGGCAUCUUGGUGUUUAUUGACUCAGGGAACAUUGGCACACUCAGCCUGUCCUUGAAAGUCAUGAAAUUCUUGCCUGCCUUCAACUCAGCAUUCCUCCUGAGGAACACAGGUCAUCCUUGCUGAAGUGCGCAUGGUUUGGUCUGGGUCAAGACAGGUAAUAUUUGGUGAUGGAGAAAACUGGUUGGCUGUUGGGUAUUUCACAAAAAAUCCCAAACAGACUCCACAGCCAGAGCUGCCUUGCAAAACCUUUUUGUUGCUGUUACUCAACGUCAUUCAUUACUCUCUCAAAGUAAAAUCAUAUGACCCCCACUUCCUCGCUAUUGCUAAGUGGUUGAGUGACUGUUCAAUAUGAAGACUGCUUAUGCUUGAGGGGCUGCACCGGAUGGAAGUCUAGAACUUUGAGUGGUGACCUGAGAUGCUGAGCAGGCAUCCCGGCUGCUCCCAUCCUGGCUGAUCCUAGGCCUCCUUGGUCCAGGCACACCUCCUUCCCACCACUGGUGAGUCUGCUCUCCCCUCUCUGAGCCUGGCUCCUGACCUUCCCCUUGUGUCAUGGUGACUUCCUCCCCCAUCCACCCACCCAAGGCCCUCAUUUCCUUUGACCUUCAACUCCUUCAAGAAGCAUUUCCUGAAUCUCUGGGGCCCACACUGGUGACGGCCCAGCUCCCAGUUCCUCCUCACUUAGGGAGACUUGCCCUGCCAUCCUUACCAGCUCGUAUUUGCUUUGAAAGCAGGACUCAUGUGUCCUACUGGAGGGGGUCCUUCUGCAGGUCCUGCUGCAACAUCCUGUGACCCCAGAAGGGGAAUGAGGAGCCCAAGGCAUCAUUCUCCCUCUGGGCUUCACUGCCACCAAACUGGAAGCCCCUGGGCCAGUCCUCUGUGGAUCCACUUCCAUUUCCUUCCUUGUUGGAACCAUGUCCUCCUUGUUGCCUCUUCCAAGCUCAGGCUUCAGUCCUUCCUGCCCGGCUGGAUCCCGUCCCAAGGGCCCUGCAAUGAAAUCUAUUUUUAAC